rnacentral:misc_RNA from 1 species
UUCCGUAGGGGUGCCUGCGGAGGGAUCAUUACCGAGUUUACAACUCCCAAACCCCUGUGAACAUACCUAUACGUUGCCUCGGCGGAUCAGCCCGCGCCCCGUAAAACGGGACGGCCCGCCCGAGGACCCCUAAACUCUGUUUUUAGUGGAACUUCUGAGUAAAACAAACAAAUAAAUCAAAACUUUCAACAACGGAUCUCUUGGUUCUGGCAUCGAUGAAGAACGCAGCAAAAUGCGAUAAGUAAUGUGAAUUGCAGAAUUCAGUGAAUCAUCGAAUCUUUGAACGCACAUUGCGCCCGCCAGUAUUCUGGCGGGCAUGCCUGUUCGAGCGUCAUUUCAACCCUCAAGCUCAGCUUGGUGUUGGGACUCGCGGUAACCCGCGUUCCCCAAAUCGAUUGGCGGUCACGUCGAGCUUCCAUAGCGUAGUAAUCAUACACCUCGUUACUGGUAAUCGUCGCGGCCACGCCGUUAAACCCCAACUUCUGAAUGUGACCUCGGAUCAGGUAGAAUUCCUCCCAACCCCUGUGAACAUACCUAUACGUUGCCUCGGCGGAUCAGCCCGCGCCCCGUAAAACGGGACGGCCCGCCCGAGGACCCCUAAACUCUGUUUUUAGUGGAACUUCUGAGUAAAACAAACAAAUAAAUCAAAACUUUCAACAACGGAUCUCUUGGUUCUGGCAUCGAUGAAGAACGCAGCAAAAUGCGAUAAGUAAUGUGAAUUGCAGAAUUCAGUGAAUCAUCGAAUCUUUGAACGCACAUUGCGCCCGCCAGUAUUCUGGCGGGCAUGCCUGUUCGAGCGUCAUUUCAACCCUCAAGCUCAGCUUGGUGUUGGGACUCGCGGUAACCCGCGUUCCCCAAAUCGAUUGGCGGUCACGUCGAGCUUCCAUAGCGUAGUAAUCAUACACCUCGUUACUGGUAAUCGUCGCGGCCACGCCGUUAAACCCCAACUUCUGAAUGUUGACCUCGGAUCAGGUAGGAAUACCCGCUGAACUUAAGCAUAUCAAAAGCCGGGAGGAA